GAUGAACGCUGGCGGCGUGCUUAACACAUGCAAGUCGAACGAUGAAGCCCACUUGUGGGUGGAUUAGUGGCGAACGGGUGAGUAACACGUGAGUAACCUGCCCUUGACUCUGGGAUAAGCCUGGGAAACUGGGUCUAAUACCGGAUAUGACCUUCCAUCGCAUAGUGGUUGGUGGAAAGCUUUUGUGGUUUUGGAUGGGCUCGCGGCCUAUCAGCUUGUUGGUGGGGUAAUGGCCUACCAAGGCGACGACGGGUAGCCGGCCUGAGAGGGUGACCGGCCACACUGGGACUGAGACACGGCCCAGACUCCUACGGGAGGCAGCAGUGGGGAAUAUUGCACAAUGGGCGCAAGCCUGAUGCAGCGACGCCGCGUGAGGGAUGACGGCCUUCGGGUUGUAAACCUCUUUCAGUAGGGAAGAAGCGUAAGUGACGGUACCUGCAGAAGAAGCGCCGGCUAACUACGUGCCAGCAGCCGCCGUAACAC
rnacentral:rRNA from 1 species